UUCUAAAUGCCAAGCUUAAGGGCAAUUCUGACUAGCGUGUUCAGCUUUACAUCUUGGCCAAUUCACUUGACCCCAACAUCCUUCAUUUGCUACAUAAAAAAGAUGGCUUGGAGAAAUAUCCGAGCACAUGUGAAACAGGUAUUGCUAAGGAUCGUAGGAUAUGGGAUUAUUUAUGACAAAUUUGAGCAAGCCAAACAAACUUUAUUUGUCCUACCUUCAGUUCCAUCCACUUUGGUUGCCCCAUCUAUACCCAUUCCUUUAGUAGGCAUUAUGGAUCGCAUAGCAGAACUUGUUGUCAAAGUGUUUAGCGCUCCUGUCAUCGUUGUUGCUAAAAAUGCUUCUAUUGCUACCCCAACUACAAAUGUUGGGCCUUUAGACCAAGCUAAAGGAGAUGGAGGCAAUGUCGACACCUCUUUAAUUGAGCCAACUGAUAUGGUAACUGAUUCAGUUGCAAAUCCUUGACUGUCCUUUUGACCUUAUGCCUUUCUUGCUUUGAAUAAGUUUGAUUUCAAGCACCCUUUUAGACUAGCUAGGUAACCGACUUGUAGUUUCCAUUGACAAUUUGUUUUUUGCUUUUGUCCUUAUUCCCAUAUGGAAGGAUAUAAUUUUUUCAAGUACUUAGCAUUUAGACUUCGUUCCAACUCUUUUCCAUCUGAAUUAACUAGUUGAUAUGCUUUAUUUUGCAAGGUAUGACUAAUUAUAAAUGGCCAUUCCCAGUUUAAGGACCACUUGCCAAGUUCUAAGUCUUUUUCCCCUAGAGGCAAAAUUGACUUCCAAAUGAUAUCUCCUUCACUAAACCUCUUCAGUCUAACAUGCUUAUUAUAUGUCCUUUCUACUCUUCUCUUGUUAAGCUGAACCUAAUCAAAUGCCACGAGCCGGUCUUCGUUUAACUCGUCCAAUUCAUCAAGCAUGGCUUAUUGAUACUCAUCCAAACUUAACUUAGCAUGUACUUUUUUACUAGUCCUAAUGAUCACACAUUAAUUUCUAAUGGCAGGAUUGCAUCAUGUCCAUAAGUCAGCUGAAAUGGUGUACAACUAGUAGCUUUGGUUGGAGUAUUUCGGCAAACCCACAAUGCUUCUUGCAAUGUUUUGUGCCAUCUUUUCAGAUUUUUCUCUAAACUCUUCUUGAAGAUCUACCAAGAUCUUGUUAGUGGCUUCCGCUUGUUCAUUUGCUUGGGUAUAGUAUGGUGUUUAAUGUAUCAUCUUAAUGUCAAAUUGUCGUAUGAACAAGCUUACUUUGUCUCCAGUGAACAUAGUUCCUUGGUCAGUAGUGAUUGACUCAGGUAUGCCAAAUCUGUAAAUGAUAUUUUGUUUAGUGAACUUGAUUAUGGCUUCCUGAGUUACACUGACCAAUGGUUCAACUUCAACCCAUUUUGUAAAAUAAUUAGUUGCUACCAGAAUAAAGCUAUGUCUUUUGGAUGAGGCUGGGUGUAUCUUGCUGAUAGCAUCCAUAGCCCAUCCUCUGAGUGGCCAAGGCUUAACUACUGCAUGCAUUUAUUCUAAUGGAAUCUUUUGUAAAGGCCCAAACCUUUGGAACUCCUCACACCCCUUGGCAUAUUGAUUACAAUCAGUCAUAAUUGUUUGCCAAUAAUAUCCAUGUCGAACCAUCAACCAAUUCAUUACAAGUCCUGGUCUAUGAGCCCUACAUAAUCCUUCAUGCAUUUCUCCCAUCAAUCACAUUGAUUCCACUUAGUUUACGUAAUUCAGCAAGACCCCAUUGGAACUUCUCCCAUCAAUCACAUUGAUUCCACUUAGUUUACGCAUUUCAGCAAGACCCCAUUGAAACUUCUCCUAUACAACUCAUCUCUUAUCAUGGUGUAUUUCAAAGCUUUCUACUUCAAUUUGAACUCAUCUUUGUUAGAUGGAUUUUGUAAAUAGUCCAUCAUUUCCUGAUGCCAUAGGUCUACUGAUCCAAUUUCCAUUGUGCAAUAUUCGUUAAUGGUUGAUUCAAAUGCCCCAUCUUUUAGCUUCUUGUAUCUAGAGGCGUGUUAGGCUAGAUGAUUAGCCUCAUCAUUUUCCCCUCCAGAAACAUGUUCUAUGGUUAUAUCCACAAAACAAUUAAGUAAUCGUUUAGCCGAUUAUAGAACUCUGCUAAGGCGAUUGGGUUAGAUUUAUAGUCUCCCUUCAUAUGUUGAAUCACCAAUUGGGAAUGCCCAUAAAUCUGUGUGCAUUUCAUAUCCUUUUGUAAUAAUAGCUAUACACCCCAUAUUAAUGCUUUAUACUCUGCUUGAUUGUUAGAAUAUUCAAGAUCAAUUGGCCUAGAAUAUCUCCAUACUCUUCUUGUUGGGCUAAUGGUGGUUACUCCAAUUCCUACCCCUUCUUGUGUUCGUGAAC
rnacentral:lncRNA from 1 species